AUGCAAGUCGAGCGGGGUGAUGUAGCUUGCUACAUUACCUAGCGGCGGACGGGUGAGUAAUGCUUAGGAGUCUGCCUAUUAGUGGGGGACAACAUUCCGAAAGGAAUGCUAAUACCGCAUACGCCCUACGGGGGAAAGCAGGGGAUCUUCGGACCUUGCGCUAAUAGAUGAGCCUAAGUCAGAUUAGCUAGUUGGUGGGGUAAAGGCCUACCAAGGCGACGAUCUGUAGCGGGUCUGAGAGGAUGAUCCGCCACACUGGGACUGAGACACGGCCCAGACUCCUACGGGAGGCAGCAGUGGGGAAUAUUGGACAAUGGGCGAAAGCCUGAUCCAGCCAUGCCGCGUGUGUGAAGAAGGCCUUUUGGUUGUAAAGCACUUUAAGCGAGGAGGAGGCUACUUGGAUUAAUACUCUAGGAUAGUGGACGUUACUCGCAGAAUAAGCACCGGCUAACUCUGUGCCAGCAGCCGCGGUAAUACAGAGGGUGCGAGCGUUAAUCGGAUUUACUGGGCGUAAAGCGUGCGUAGGCGGCUUCUUAAGUCGGAUGUGAAAUCCCUGAGCUUAACUUAGGAAUUGCAUUCGAUACUGGGAAGCUAGAGUAUGGGAGAGGAUGGUAGAAUUCCAGGUGUAGCAGUGAAAUGCGUAGAGAUCUGGAGGAAUACCGAUGGCGAAGGCAGCCAUCUGGCCUAAUACUGACGCUGAGGUACGAAAGCAUGGGGAGCAAACAGGAUUAGAUACCCUGGUAGUCCAUGCCGUAAACGAUGUCUACUAGCCGUUGGGGCCUUUGAGGCUUUAGUGGCGCAGCUAACGCGAUAAGUAGACCGCCUGGGGAGUACGGUCGCAAGACUAAAACUCAAAUGAAUUGACGGGGGCCCGCACAAGCGGUGGAGCAUGUGGUUUAAUUCG
rnacentral:rRNA from 1 species